rnacentral:misc_RNA from 1 species
GAUGAGAACGUAGUGAAAUGCGAUAAUUAAUGUGAAUUGCAGAAUUCAGUGAAUCAUCGAGUCUUUGAACGCACAUUGCGCCCCCUGGUAUUCCGGGGGGCAUGCCUGUCCGAGCGUCAUUGCUGCCCUCAAGCACGGCUUGUGUGUUGGGCUUCCGUCCCUGGCAACGGGGACGGGCCCAAAAGGCAGUGGCGGCACCAUGUCUGGUCCUCGAGCGUAUGGGGCUUUGUCACCCGCUCCCGUAGGUCCAGCUGGCAGCUAGCCUCGCAACCAAUCUUUUUAACCAGGUUGACCUCGGAUCAGGUAGGGAUACCCGCUGAACUUAAGCAUAUCAAUAAGCGGAGGA